CUGGGGAAUGGAGCACAGAUGGUCUCCACCCUCAUCUGAAGCUUUUGUCUAAGUCUCCCUGGCAGGUUAUUUGCUUGAGUUUUAAUCUGAGUUAAAAUGCAGCCGCUUUGGGGAAGAACCCUACUUUGUGCUGUUACCUGUUGUUAGUUCAACGGGGAUGCGGAAUUUGGGGUGGAUGCCGAGCGCUGGGAAGGAAUAUGCCCUCGUUCCCCCAUCUCCAUGACUACCACUGAAGGAAGGAGGCUGAGGGCAGAUAUGUGUGCAGGUCUGCUGGUGUCACUAGAGAGGAAGGAGACCGCAAGAAGACAGCGGCCGGGGGGAUCUAGGAGAUGGAAAGGGUCCUGAAAAAUUCUAAUCUGGAUAAUCUCUGGAUACUGGACAAUGAAGCCCAGGUGUGCUCUAAAAAAAUGGAGCAAAAUUUGGUCCAACUCAUGCCAAUUGUGUUCAACAGUUUAUAGGAUAAGUAGAUCCUUUCAGGCUGUCAUAGUUCAAGCUCUUGGAAUGACCAGUAAUAUAUACUUAAACAUAUGACAAAACUUAAGGGAAAAGAGGGCCCAAGGCAUGCAGGGGAACUGAGCAUAAAGGCCAUUGUAUUUCAUGUAUGACUUGACUGUGUUUCAGUAAAGCAAUUUUAGCUCUAAAC
rnacentral:lncRNA from 10 species